rnacentral:rRNA from 1 species
AACGAACGCUGGCGGCGUGCUUAACACAUGCAAGUCGUACGAGAAAUCUUGGGCAACUGAGAGAGUAAAGUGGCGCACGGGUGAGUAACGCGUGGGUAACCUACCCCUGAAUCCGGGAUAACUCUUCGAAAGGAGAGUUAAUACCAGAUAAUAUUCCAUCUCCCUCGGAAGCUGGAAUCAAAGGUGGCCUCUGCAUGCAAGCUACUGUUCAAGGAUGGGCCCGCGUACCAUUAGCUAGUUGGUAGGGUAAUGGCCUACCAAGGCGAUGAUGGUUAGCUGGUCUGAGAGGAUGACCAGCCACACUGGCACUGAAACACGGGCCAGACUCCUACGGGAGGCAG